rnacentral:RNase_P_RNA from 1 species
CAAGUGAGCUGGGCAAUCGCCGGUUUUUGCAUUAUUGCAGAAACUGGAGGAAAGUCCGAACUCCAUAGGGCAGAGCGCUGGGUAACACCCAGGUGUCGUGAGGCAAUGGAAAGUGCCACAGAAAACAUACCGCCUAAGUUUUUCGCUAUGAAGAACCGGUAAGGGUGAAAAGGCAGUGUAAGAGACUACCGCGUAGGUUGGCGACAACCUACGGCACGGUAAACCCCGCUUGGAGAAAGACAA